AACCAUUUUGUGUCAGCCGCCGCGGUAAUACGAAGGGGGCUAGCGUUGCUCGGAAUUACUGGGCGUAAAGGGAGCGGUAGGCGGACUGUUUAGAUCAGAGGUGAAAGCCCAGGGCUCAACCUGUGGAAUUGCCUUUGAUACUGGCAGUCUUGAGUACGGAAGAGGUAUGUGGAACUCCGAGUGUAGAGGUGAAAUUCGUAGAUAUUCGGAAGAACACCAGUGGCGAAGGCGACAUMCUGGUCCGUUACUGACGCUGAGGCUCGAAAGCGUGGGGAGCAAACAGGAUUAGAUACCCUGGUAGUCCACGCUGUAAACGAUGASUGCUAGUUGUCGGCAGGCAUGCCUGUCGGUGACRCAGCUAACGCAUUAAGCACUCCGCCUGGGGAGUACGGUCGCAAGAUUAAAACUCAAAUG
rnacentral:rRNA from 1 species